UUUAAAAUAAUCCACUCUGGUGGUACACGCUAGUUCUGUCUGGUCCAGUCUUGGUUGGAUGCACGAGCACACCAAUCCAACAAACCAACAAAUCAGCAAAUCAGCCAAUAAACCACCCCCCACACACAUACACACAUAUGCACACACAUACACACGCGCACGCACUACCUCCCACGCCCCCCAAACAGCACCCCUCUCCUUCUCCUUGGGACAAGUGACCAAAAAGCCCAUGCAGAAUGCAGAAAUGUCCCAGGCGAGGCAAUCCAAUCCCAGCAGAGAGAUGAGAUGCCCCCCUCACGCGCAGCUACAGAGGGCAGGAUGCAUGCAGCUUUGAGCGCUGGCUGGCACUUAGCUAUAGCAGGAACUGUUGGUGCACAGCGGUGCCAUUAGGGGUCGUUUAGGAGGGGAGACAGGAGACAGGACAGCAGGGGGGUGCUCUGGCUGGCUCGCGCAGCCGGCUGUGCUCGUCCCUCUCUCGGGCUAUUAUUACAAGGCUGGACGUCCGGGCUCAUGGCUCGUGCAGCAGCACUGGGGCUGUGUGCUCAGCAGAACCGUCUCCGCGUCUUCUGCAUUUUUGUUUGUAGAUCUCUCUCUCUCUCUCUUUAUUAUAUUUCUCUCUCUACAGUCUAUUAAACGCAUGGAUGACAGCAGCAGCCGCACGAGAGCCAGACUUUAGAUCUAACAGCAGCGACGGAGAGGAGAAGAGAAGAGAAGGAGGGAUGAAAUGAAAACAACAGCGGAGGAUGAAUCAGCAUUCCUGCAGUUUAGCCUGAGGGUGGGCCCCAGUCAGAGCCCAGCUCAGCACUACACACAGGGUCUCCAGAGGUGGGCUUCAGGUCUGAGUCCCGGGUGUCCAGCAGGUUGUUUAUGCCAGAAGCUACAGGAAGAUACAGUUAAGGCCGACUCAGCCUGCAUCUGUGAAGACCUUUACUGACUAUUUUAUGUCUGUCUGUCUGUCUGUCUGUCUUUCUCUUGUUCUCUUUUAAUUUUAGCUUGGCUGCUCUUAACGCUUCUGGGAAUGAUUCAUGUCAGUUUCCAGACGGCUGAAGUCACGGUCCUGGAACCACAACCUCAGGGCUGACCCUGGGCCUCCUCCUGCUGCUGGAAGGCCGGGUGGGGAGGGGCGGGGCCGUACGGCUCUGAUGACACACUUCCCUGCCCUUUGCGUCCACCGCUGGCUUUUAACAGCCUCUGACUGUAAAAACACACUACGCAGCCCGUAACUCCACAUUCACGGCAUAGUGAUGCAAGCAGGACCACGUGUGUGUACGUGUCCCUUGUUGUGUGUGUGUGUGUGUGCUGCGUCAUGGCGGUGGAGCAGUGAGGCACGGAAAGUGCUGGCUGCUGCUGCUGUUUUUAGCACGACUCAAACGUUCUGAAAGCCAGCAGCUCUUUUUAAAGCCCAAAUCAGGAAUGACUGUAACUCACAGGCCAGUGUUUCGCUCUCCAGUAAUUCAGCACUUUCCAAUAACAGCAGAAUUGAUUGUUUAGCCAAACAUUUACCCAUAGUGUGCUCUUAACCCAAGUGGGCUUGUACUGACCAUGCCCCGUGAAAUCAAGCCUGAUAUACAGCUCUGAAACAAAUAAGAGACCACUUAAAUAUGAUGAGUUUCUUUGUUUUUACCAAAUUAAAAAUCUAUGCAAUAUAAUCAAGAGGAAGAUGGAUGAUCACAAGCCAUCAAACCGAACUGAUCUGCUUGCAUAUUUGCACCAGGAUUUGCCAUAAAGUUAUCCAAAAGCAGUGUGUAAGACUGGUGGAGGAGAACAUGAUGCCAAGAUGCAUGAAAACUGUGAUUAAAAACCAGGUUUAUUCCACCAAAUAUUGAUUUCUGAACUGUUAAAACUUUAUGAAUAUGAACUUGUUUUCUUUGCAUUAUUUGAGGUUUGAAAGCUCUGCAUCUCUUUUGUUAUUUCAGCCAUUUCUCAUUUUCUGCAAAUAAAUGCUCUAAAUGACA